CGGGUGAGUAACGCGUGAGGAACCUGCCUCAAAGAGGGGGACAACAGUUGGAAACGACUGCUAAUACCGCAUAAGCCCACGGCUCGGCAUCGAGCAGAGGGAAAAGGAGUGAUCCGCUUUGAGAUGGCCUCGCGUCCGAUUAGCUAGUUGGUGAGGUAACGGCCCACCAAGGCAACGAUCGGUAGCCGGACUGAGAGGUUGAACGGCCACAUUGGGACUGAGACACGGCCUAG
rnacentral:rRNA from 1 species